GACGAACGCUGGCGGCGUGCUUAACACAUGCAAGUCGAGCGGAAAGGCCUCUUUCGGGGGGUACUCGAGUGGCGAACGGGUGAGUAACACGUGAGUAACCUGCCCUUGACUUUGGGAUAACUUCAGGAAACUGGGGCUAAUACCGGAUAGGAGCUCCUGCUGCAUGGUGGGGGUUGGAAAGUUUCGGCGGUUGGGGAUGGACUCGCGGCUUAUCAGCUUGUUGGUGGGGUAGUGGCUUACCAAGGCUUUGACGGGUAGCCGGCCUGAGAGGGUGACCGGCCACAUUGGGACUGAGAUACGGCCCAGACUCCUACGGGAGGCAGCAGUGGGGAAUAUUGCACAAUGGGUGGAAGCCUGAUGCAGCAACGCCGGGUGCGGGAGGACGGCCUUCGGGUUGUAAACCGCUUUCGCUCAUGACGAAGCUUUGUGUGACGGUAGUGGGUAAAGAAGCACCGGCUAACUACGUG
rnacentral:rRNA from 1 species